rnacentral:lncRNA from 1 species
AUGUCCUCCACCUAUUCCGCAGCUAUAAGACUCUGGUGUUUGCCCUCCUUGAUUCUUCCAGGUGCUGCCCACCCUGUUUUUCUCCCCAUUCUGAGUCCUGAGAUUGGCCACUACCGAGCUGAGAUAAGGGAGCUGGAGGAGGGGAACCUGGCUUUCAUUGUUCACUGCUCUCUCUCUCUCUCUCCUCACUGCUCUCACUCCUCACUGCUCUCUCUCCUCACUGCUCUCACUCCUCACUGCUCUCUCUCCUCACUGCUCUCUCUCCUCACUGCUCUCUCUCCUGUCUGCUCUCUACCUCCUCACUGCUCUCACUCCUCACUGCUCUCUCCUCACUGCUCUCUCUCCUCACUGCUCUCAUUCCUCACUGCUCUCACUCCUGUCUGCUCUCUCUCUCCUCACUGCUCUCACUCCUCACUGCUCUCACUCCUCACUGCUCUAACUCCUGUCUGCUCUCUAUCUCCUCACUGCUCUCACUCCUGCCUGCUCUCUCUCCUCACUGCUCUCACUCCUCACUGCUCUCUCAAUCCUCACUGCUCUCACUCCUCACUGCUCUCUCUCCUCACUGCUCUCACUCCUGUCUGCUCUCUAUCUCCUCACUGCUCUCACUCCGGCCUGCUCUCUCUCCUCACUGCUCUCACUCCUCACUGCUCUCUCUCCUCACUGCUCUCACUCCUCACUGCUCUCACUCCACACGGCUCUCACCCUCAUUGCUCUCCUUACACCUCUCACUCCUCACUGCUAUCUUCUCACUGCAAUCUCCUCACUGCUCUCUCUCUCCUCACUGCUCUCAUUCCUCACUGCUCUCCUUACUGCUCUCACUCCUCACUGCUAUCUCCUAACUGCAAUCCCCUCACUGCUCUCACUCGUCACUGCUCUCACGCCUCACUGCUCCCACUUCUCACUGCUCUCACUCCUCACUGCUCCCACUCCUCACUGCUCCCACUCCUCACUGCUCUCACUCCUCAUUGCUCUCACUCCUCACUGCUCCCACUCCUCACUGCUCCCACUCCUCACUGCUCUCACUCCUCACUGCUCCCACUCCUUACUGCUCUCACUCCUCACUGCUCUCACUCCUCACUGAUCUCACUCCUCACUGCUCUCUCUCUCCUCACUGCUCCCACUCCUCACGGCUCUCUCUCUCCUCACUGCUCUCACUCCUCACUGCUCUCACUCCUCACUGCUCUCACUCCUCACUGCUAUCUCCUCACUGCUCUCACUCCUCACUGCUCUCACUCCUCAUGCUCUCACUCCUCACUGCUCUCACUCCUCACUGCUAUCUCCUCACUGCUCUCACUCCUCACUGCUCUCACUCCUCACUGA